UUUCACUCAGCCGACAUUAAACCACGUCCUCGCCAGGUCUGGUGUCUUCUGCAUUUAUUAUUCUUUUUGUAGCGUUUUUUGCGGCUUUUUGGUGAGUCACAAUUUUGAGCUGGAGCUUAUUUCUCUAAGGAGGCAGUCAUGUGUUAAGCUGCAGUAAAGCUGCAACUUGUUUGGGGCGUAGCAAAAAAAAAAAAGGAGCCUGUUUCCCCCUUUCCAUUCACUCCUGGAUUCCUUUGUAUAUUAGAUCUUUAAAAACAAGUAAUACAGGAACAAUUUUAUAUCAUUCUCUCAGUUUGGGUUUUUAGCAACCAGGGUUAAUUUUUCUUCUUCUGCCAAUCAGGAUAUAACCGAGACACCGAGAGUGAAACUUUCUGACACUCCGUUUAGCACAAACUUCCUGGAAUAGCUCAUUUUGAAAGUCAGCCUUUUUCAUUAUGAGGGGGGAAUUUGGGUGUCUUUAAUGUUUUGGUUGAAACCUCUUGUAUUUUUCUCUCUACGUUUCUCUCGCUCUUUUUUUUUCUUUUUCCAGAGGGAUAUCAAAUGGCGACGAACUCUCUUACACGUCCCCGUCCGCCGCCUUUCACGUGUUGUCGGUGCGAGGCGGUGACACGGGCCGACUGAAAGAGACUCGCGGUGGGCGAGCACCAUUCCGCUUUACCGAGGCUGCACUGCAGCGCCGAGUGUGUGUGUGUGUGUGUGUGUGUGUGUAACACCGGACAUGCGGCGUUUUUUUUCGGGAAAUAGCUUGUCUAUAUGCAGGGCUCUUGUGUAACGGCUUGGGCUGUGAAUCCCACUUCACCUCAGUUGAACUUGGCCGAUCGAGUUCACCAGCGACAUGAACGCUGUCAGGCCGGUGUGGCGGGUUCCGCGAGGAGCAGAAGAAGAAGAAAAGAAAGCGCUACCGUUAAUACACCAGACUCAGAAAAAUCUCUCGACCUAUUUCGUAGACGCUUAUUUAUUUAUUUAGUGGUUUAUUUAAUUAUUUAUCUCCACCCUCCCUUUUCGCUUCUAACGCCGAGGGGACGAGGCAGGUCGCUGAUGCUUUUUUGUGUUGUUUUGUUGUUGUUGUUUUCUACGCUCGCGCUCGUCUCGCCGUCGUUGCCGAGGAGCUCGCGCGCAACAAAAGUAACCGGGACGACGGGAAUUCGCCAUGGAGAAAGAAUGACAGCUCUCCACCGCCGGGAGACCGCGAGCUCGGCCGUCUUUCCUCUUUUCCUUCGUCUCCUCUUCGCACUUGAACUUGUGCUUGAACUCCAAGAAACGGCCCCGUCGAAGCCUAAAUGUUGGUGCUUAAAAUGGCGUAACCUUGUACAUGCAGCCUUUUCGAUGUUCGACAGCUUCUUGAUCAGACUGAGGAACAUUUGAUAGAUGAGGUGCUUACUCAUGGCAUUAUGAUACAGAGGCUGACCCUAGAGUUCACAGUCGUAAUUGAGAAGUCUUGUAGACACGUGCGCAUGGGGCCCCAGGAGAGACCACCACCGCAGCGGAGCUGGGGAGAGUAAGGCCUUCAGGACCAGUCUGUAUUGCUUCAGUCUGUCCACAUUUUCCCCUUUUGUGAGGUAAGUUUUUUAUACAGCAUUUUCAGUGAGGGUUAUUGUGUAUAAUCACAUUUUUUACAUGUAUAGUUCUAAGUCUGUCGUGGUCGAUUCGAAUGUAGGAUCAUAUUUUUAAUUCAAACGUGUGUCUAUGUUUACAUGCCUAUCGAUGCACUUGCGUUGGUUUUAACUAAUGAUUUUUUUUUAUUUAUUUCCAUGACCAACAUGCAAAAUCUGCACAGUAACAGGUCGAAUAUUAUAAGAAUUUAAAGCUACAAAAUAUGGCGCAAAUCGGCAGGCAGUUUUUUAUCAUAAUAGUAUGGUAACCACAUCGAUAUUUCGGCGCUUAGAAAAAGAAAAUUUGCCUGUUUUACCUUCAAAAUUUAGAAUUUGCUGCCUUUAUUGGGCUUAUUUGGUUUCUGAUCGCUAAUAUAUAAGGCUUAGAAGGGAGUCCUUCAGAUGCGAGUCCUUAUAAAGACUCAUUACGACAUUAAGGCCAGGCCAAACCCUACUACCAUCCCAACAUUUUCUGCAGGCAUCCAUUUCGUUUAAUAAGGAAGUCAGGAGUACAGAAUUUGCUUUCUAGAAACCUUGUGUUCAGCCUGACAGGUUUUUUAAUAUAUGAGCUGAAACUAAUGCUUUUUUAAAAAUACAUCAUUUUAAAAUGUAUUGGUUUGUGGUUUGUUAAUUUUUUUUUUUAAAUAUCAUAUUUGCAAGAAUCAAACAAAGAAAAUUCUGUAAGUACGCAUUAUAAUAUUAUAACUAAUGUUUUUAUAACUAAGUAUUUUUCUUAAAGUAACUUUAUAAUCAAUAUCUGUCACUUAAGGUUUAAAUAGAAAUUUAAGCUCAUCAUUUUAUAUUUUGAAGGAGUAUUCGAUUUUUAUUUGGGAAUUUUCCGGGGGGGGGGUUUCGCAUAUCUGUGCCUGUUUUUAUUUUACUUUAUUUUAUUUUAUUUUUUAUUUUAUAUUAUUUUUUAGGUUAUAUUGUAUUGUAGUAAGGGCAAAAUUAUCUCAACAUUACAAAAAGAGAUCUCUGAGCACACCCUUACACACACACACACUCUCUCUUUUUUUCACACACACACACACACACACACACACACACACACACACAGAGAUAUGAGCACCUUUUGAAGAUGUAAUAAUUUUUGGUUUCUUAUGUUUACUCAGCAAAACAAUCAGAAAUUGUGUUUAGAUUUAUAGGUGGUGGUGCAGCAGUAAGGGCAGCAUUUCUCCCUGUAAAUGCAAUUAAAUUAAAAUUUAUAGGCAAGUAGUUCAGCAGGUCUGCUUCACCUGAGUUGGUUUAUGAUAGGUAGUAUACUGCUGGACAAAUGACAGAUUAAUCUCUGAGUGGGGGGGUUUGAAGUGUUUUGGCACAUAAGUGGCAUAUUGAGUUGGAAGUGAACACCCCCACCCAUCCUUUCUGAAUCGACCCGUCUACUCUGUUUUUUUUUUUUUUCCCUUUAGUGAAUGGAGUGUUCCAGAAAUGGUGUAUGGUAUAAGCACAUUGCAGGUGGCGUCAUGUAAAUGGUAGGGUGGUUGGGGCAUGAUUGAAGCUUGAGGUUUAACCAGUAAACCUUGUUUAUUUAAGAGUAUGAAAUAUAUUUUGUGUCUGAAUAGAAUUUAACAUUUAAAUAUAUGCAUGGUGUUUCUUGUGAAAUAUUCAUUAUUUGCUGUAUUUCUUCAGAACUCUGUGUGUGUGUGUGUGUGUGUGUGUGUGUGUGUGUGUGUGUGUGUGUGUGUGUUGGGGGUUCCUAUAAAAUUUUGUGCGUAUUACUAUAAUUGUAAAACAACCUCGAACACUGUAACAUAAUGACAUACACACAACAAAAACAACACACAACUAGACUUACUUGCCCCACAAGAGGCAAGAGGACUCUAGUUCAGCCCUGAAUGAAAUUCCCACGCCUUUAAUGUGUGCAUAUGAGAAUAAAGGGUCUACACCCCCCAAACCCCCCGCCCAAAAAGACACUCAUCCAUACCCAGUCUAGACGUAAAACGUGUCUUGUGUUCAGUGCAGAAUGAGAAAAAAAAGGAAAAAAAAAACAGAAUAGGGGGACAUGACAUUAAACGAAUUUAACAGCAUUUCAUGAUUGAUCUACACAAACAAUAUUUAUUAUUUUAAACUUCUAAAGCAUAAUUAUUGUAAUAUCUUUACAUGCCGAAGAAAAUCAAUUUGCUAUUUUAAAUUACCAAAAUAUUUAAAGCAUGAUUAGGUUUACAGAAUUGGAGGUGCUGGAAAAUUAAUAUUUAAAAAUAUGAUAAUUAAUAAAUUGUUAAAAAUGUUUAAAUAGUAGAUAUCUUUGUAUGUUUUUGUCUGUGUAAGAAUGUGUUUUAAUGUUUAACUGUUUGUGUUCAAGUGAUGGGAACUGAAUAUAACUUUCUAGAACAAAGUGUAUAUAUUUAAAAGGUCCUUCUUGUUUUUAAGCCAUGUGUGUAAAAUCACAAGUUUAUGAUUAAGCUCACAGGCAAAGUGCUUCACGAUGUUCUGACUUUUUAAUACAAAAAUAGUGGCAGUUGUUUUUCUAAAGAAAAUUGUGUAGAAGUGUCACAGCUUCAUUCUUAAUGUAAAGAUUAAUUAAAUUUUGUUAAUGUUGCAUUGACAAUUAUUUUGCUAAAUGUAAUGUUAAGAAUUCUUUUUUUUGUGCUGUUUUUUUGCACAUGCACAUAUUUGCGCUUACGUCACGUUUUCCAUUUCUAAAAUUAAAAAGCAUUAUAAAUGCGUAAUUGCAAAAGCAAAAGUUCCUAAAUUGUUUAUCAAAAGUUGUUAAUUAUUUUGCAACUUGUAUUUCAUUUAAUGAAUAUGAAAUGUGUGUAAUCAGCACUAAAAAAAUAUUUAUAACAUUCUUUACCGGGAGGACUUUAUGAACUUAAAUGUGUGUGUUUGUGUGUAUGUGUGCGUGUUUGUGUGUGUGUGUGUGUGUGUGUGUGUGUGUGUGUGUGUGUGUGUGUGUGUACAGCAUAAUGCUGACAUUACCUGUAUCCUAUAUCAAUUCUUUAACAAAUUUAAAGCAGAUCACAACAGAAAGUGUAAGCAUAUUUCUGUCACUAACAAAAGUGUCAUCUUAGAUUUAUGUAAAUGUUGAUUAAGAGUAUUUGAUGAAAAAGUAAGAUCAUUAUAAAUCAUUAUAAAUUUAUUUGGAUAAUUGUUUUAUUUUAUAAAAAUGACUACUAUAAAAUAAUAACUUAUAAGAUGCAAGUAAUACAGCAUCACCUGGAUUAUGUAAAAAAAAAGUAAAAUAAAAAAAAAAGCUAUUGAUUAUUUUCUUUCAAUUUAAAAGGUGUUGCUGAAAUGACUGCCGAUUUCAGAUUUUUUUCCUGAUAUAUGAAAAUACAGAUUAGAAUACAUUUAAUUGCUUUAGUGACAGUAUUGUUUAGAAUCAAAUCACCAUUAGUUUGACAUUAGCGUAUUAUCUGAGAACUUACAUAAUGCCAGUGAAUUAACGGUUAUGACACUGUCAGUCAAAUGUGGCUGAACCACACCAGUUUGCUGAAAGAAAUGAUACAUUACUCUGAUCAAAUCUGUAAUCAUGUAACCAUGUAGAUGAUGGAUUGUAGACAAGUGACAUUUCUGUGGAACUUUUACAAUUCUGUUAUGAUCUCGGUCAUGACUAUAUAUUUAGUAAAGCUGUAAUUGUCUGGAAAUAACAAAUGGAACUUUUGGAUUGAAAAUCAUGUUGCAGUAAAAAUAUAUAUAAAGCGUCUCGAUUAAUACGUCUGCUAUUUGGUUAAACAUAAAGUAUUUAAAUGUCUGUGUGUUUAUUUCAUCUAUAGUGUUAAGUAUUUUUUAUUAAUUGCUGGGAAGCUUGGCAUUUGUUAGUGAACAUUGGUGCUUUAUUUAUUUUACGAAUUCUUAUUGAGUAUUACGUCUCUGUUUUGUGAUCAUUUAAGGCAUCAUUAAAACCUGGUAUUAUUUGCCCAUCUGGCUAGGGUGUGCUUUGCUAUCAUAAAUGUUUAACAGAUUAUUUUCAGGCAGCAGCUUUAUUUUGAAUUUUGUUGACUUUUGACUUGGUGCGAAAAGACGUAUUCAAAUACCUGCAGCACUGAUUUAUCACUGUAAUAUUACAUCAGACAGGGUGCAUUGCUCUCUGUCAGCGGAGCUUACAAACCGCAGCAAAUCAAAUCUCUUUUAUCAGUUCUUCUAAAAAAAACAGCUGUCACAAUGACCAUGGUUCCUUGCUGCAGCUUUGGUAACAGAAAUCAGGUGCAUGAAAGUGACUCCAGCACCCAAAGGUCAAAUGGGGAUUAAGAGAAACGGGACUCUGGAGCAGUGCAGAGAGUGGCCUGUUCUGCAUAAAAGCCCUAUUGUCACAGAAUACAGCGCUCUCGCUCUCACUGCAAGGAGCAGGCAGGUCUUAAGCCUUAGGAGUACAGCGCCACCUACUGGCUGUUAAUUGCUCCAACCUGACACUAUCUCCACCAGGCUCCAUAGGGUCAUAUGAACAACGUAUUCAAACAAGAAACAAUGAUUACCUACAUCAAGCACAAAUGAAUGCACAAUGGGUGCAUUGUGAAUGUAUAGAACAUGCAUGAUUCGGACUGAGAAAGGCGAGAAACGCCAAGUGAUGUGCCUUAUCAUUCUACAUCUCUGUUUCUCUUUAUAUGUGUAGAGAUUGAGCUUCUAUGAGGUGUGCCAUUCCUGCAUCUAGGUCACAGGUUAUGUAAUGACACUGUCACGUCAUGCAAUGUAAGAGUGAUGGGAUGGAACUGGAAGGAGAACUAGAAUGUGUGGGAUAAAACAAGCCUUCGCAUUUAUCUAUUAAAAGUCCAGCACACACAGCUCCUGUAACACCAAACAUUGUUAGACACAUGGACAGGGAGUGCAGCUCAGCUCCACAUUUAACUCUACUCACUCCAACAGGUCUUUCAAGGACACUGAGGAGGCCUUAUAAUUACUCCCACCGCAGUUUGAUGUGGAUGGAUGAUUUGGCUUGAGGGAUGUUGUUAAUUUUCCCGCUUUAUUGUAGAGGUGGUUGAUUUUUAAAAACGCCCUUCACUGAGGAGGUGUACAUUUAUAGAGCAUGAUUCAGAGCAGGUUACUCCUACUCUACACUCUCCAAGUGUAGAGUAGGUAAAUGAGUAAUGUAAAUUGCUUUAUAAACUGUUGAAUUUUACAAAUGGGUCAAACUGAGAAAGAAAUGAAAAGAGAGACCUAGUUUUCUGAAAAUGUAAUAGAGAGGAACCUUGAAAAAAGUAAAGCAAAUGUGUUUAAAUUAAAUUUAUUCUUACAUAACUUUUUAUGGAAACCAGGCCAAAAAAAGGGAGUUUAAAGGUUUUUCUUUUCUCAAUGAUUGCUUCUAACAGUGUAAUUUUUGAGUGGUACCUAAGUAACAUUAUUCUUUAUUUGUAAUAUGAUUUUGAAGAACUACAUGCACAAGUAAUAUUUCAGUGUGCUGUAUAUCUGUUUAUCCUAUCUGAUGUGUAUUUAUAGCAUUGUUCCCGAAUAAAAAAUAAAAAAAGCCUAAGAAUAAUUCAAAGCCCUAAUAUUUAACCAUUAAACGAAUUUGAUUCAACCACAGCUUUAUAUUUAUGGCCCUUAAAAAAAUAAACACUUGAUAUUUUAGUCUUAUUUUGUUUGGAAAAUGACUUGACUCAGUGUUUGAGUUAGUGGUAGUGUGUUUGUGCAUCGUGUGAUUGUGUGCGUAUGGUAAGCUUGUGUGAGUCAGUGCUGCGGUAACAGUGGGGUCUGUGGUAGUAUGAGUAAGCUGUAUGUGUGUGCCUGAGGUAAACCACAAUGUAUCCCACACUCUCAGGCCUCCCGAUUACUCAGAUAUGGACACUUGCAUAUGCACGCCGCAGUCAUACCUGCAUGUUUGCAGUCCACACAUGUGGAACCGAUGCGCCAGUGCUCAUUCAAGCCAGAGGUGCGAUCUGAUCCUGCUCAGGCUCAGCAUGCAAAACUGUAAACAAGAAUUCCAUUAAUAAUGAAAAGAGCUUGAGAAACAUCACACCACACAGUGUAGCUAAAGACACAGCGAGAGAAAGCAUAUGUCACUGCUGUGUUGACUGCUGUACAUGUAAAUAAAUGUUUACAAUCCAAUCACUUUUUGUCUCUUUUUCUCCCUUUCUCUCUUCCACAGAUGGCCAAAUAAUUAUUGUUUUACAUAAAAUCGUGUCCAGUGGAACUCCUCAUGAAGCAAAGCUGUGUAUUAAGGUGGUAUUAUUUAUUUACACUUCUUGUUAUUACACUUGUCUAUAUGUUUGCCAGAUAUGUCUAAUAAUCCUCAGGAAUCCUUUAUUACUCUGUAUCUGGAUUCAAUAAAUUUGAAUUGGAAUGAAUUGUUUGGGAGUUAAUGUAUGUGGAUCAUCAGUCCUGUUUCAAAGAGACACUGUCCUUUGGGGUGAGGUAGUAGGUUGUAUAGUUUUAGGGUUGAGCCCUUGCUGUCAGAUAACUAUACAACUUACUGUCUUUCCUGAAGUGGCCGUAAUGUCACCGAUGAAGAGCUGCGUGACCAGUAAACGACCUCAUCACAGAUGCCUUUAAGGAUUUAUUAGACCCCAUCUAAUAGUAGCAAGAGAAGUGUGUUAAUGAGUGCUUCCUCGUAGAUUCCCGGUAUAAUAUAGCAGAAAUGAAGGAAAGAAAAUAUAAAAAUGUUGCAUUUAUUACUGAAAACAGGAUUUGAAACAUAAGGCAAACUAUACAGAAGAAAAUAGUUUGAGAAGACCUUCGUGCUUUGACCUUUGUGAAACCUAACAUACAAAAAGCCUUGCUUCUAUGAAUGUAAGUCUCCCUUUUUCUUCAAGCUAAUUUAAACUUUUUAUAAAUAAAAGCAGUUUGUCUGAAUGCCGAAUAAUGAGAAAAUGUGUUUAUCCAGCAGUGUCUUCAGUUUAGUCAGAUUUCUGGUGUUGUUUAAAGACAAGACAACAAAUACCAAGCAGCUCUAUUUUGAGUUCCACUGAUGUUUGUUCAUCUGUGAGCUCAAACAAGAUGUCUGUACGCUGGAGAAACUUUUCAGUGAUGUUCGUACAGGGUGAGGUAGUAGGUUGUGUGGUUUCAGGGUCGUGAUUUUGCCCCAUCAGGAGAUAACUAUACAACCUACUGCCUUCCCUGAAGGGCAGCAAUACGUCACUGGAUACCAACUGAAAGAUGGCACUGAGUUGUUGUUGUUGUUGUUUAUUUCAGCUGGAUUGUCAUUUUUUGAAGAGCAAUAAUAAAAAUAAAUAUCUAA